GCGGGCGUGGCGGAAUGGCAGACGCGCCGGGUUUAGGUCCCGGUGAGGCGACUCGUGGAGGUUCGAAUCCUCUCGCCCGCACCA
rnacentral:tRNA from 2 species